AUGCCUGAAGACGGCCUCCAACCGCCGGGCCCAAAGCAGCCAGCCUUUGUUCUCAUGCGCGUCUCCUUCCUGCGUCACCUAGUACGUAAACAAACACACAGGAUCUUUAUGAGAGCAAAAACUACAAAAUGGAAAUCUCAGUCCUACUUCUCCAUGACGACAAGGACGACGUCGCCAUGCGUGCACGCUCCAACCUGUCCCCUGUCGCAGCCCCACCACUCGAUGCCGAUGCACUCCAACCCGAGGACCACCAUGAUGGAGGUCGCCUCACAGCCUAGCGACGAGUGUUUGUUGGUUUCUCUUUCAUUUACGGACAUCUUGGGCUUGCUGGGUGCAGAAUCAAGAAGCCCAAUCAUCAUCAGGGAUGAAAAAAGGAGAGAAGCACGGGAAGAGGUACUAGUAGAAGAGGAAGAAAUGCACCGUAAUGGAUCUAGGAAGUAUGAAUGGUUAAUACCUCAAUGGUGCACUAUGCAUCUUUGGCAGGUUUUUAUGCAUUUUUAA
rnacentral:rRNA from 1 species